rnacentral:rRNA from 1 species
UACGUAGGGUGCAAGCGUUGUCCGGAAUUAUUGGGCGUAAAGGGCGCGUAGGCGGACUGUUAAGUCGGACGUGAAAUCCCCGGGCUCAACCCGGGAACUGCAUCCGAUACUGGCAGGCUCGAAUCCGGGAGAGGGAUGUGGAAUUCCAGGUGUAGCGGUGAAAUGCGUAGAUAUCUGGAGGAAUACCGGUGGCGAAGGCGGCAUCCUGGACCGACAUUGACGCUGAUGAGCGAAAGCUAGGGGAGCAAACGGG